rnacentral:rRNA from 1 species
AAACUAAAGUUCGGUUUAUAUCUAAUUUUUAAUAUAGAUUUUUGAGAAACAUCUAUUAAUAUCGUAAAGGAGAUUGAAAAUUUAUUUAUAUUAUAACCUUCUAAGUACUGUAAAGGAAAUUUUAUUUAUAACAAAGUAAUGAUUUUAUCAUGUACCUUUUGUAUCAUGGUUUAGCUAGAUUUUAUUUUAUAUAAAAGUUCUCGAAACCUAAUGAGCUAUUUUUGUUUAUUUAUUUUAGUAUACAAAAAUUAGUUGUAGCAAAAACUUGUUUAAAAACAAAAAUAGAAAUGAAAUUUUAUUCGUAUUAGGUGAUAGCUAGUUUUCUUUUAAAGAUAUAGAAGUAUCUAGGCUUAAUAAGUAUAAACUUGAAAUAUAUCCAGUUUAAUUUAUGAAGCUUAAAACAUUUUUAGGAAUAAGCUUAAAAAUAUAUAUAAAAAAUCAUAUAAAAACUUUUUUUUAAAUUUAAGCUUGAGACUAGCUAAAAUUUUAAAAUUUGUUAUAAUUUAUUUAAAUUUUAAGAGAAAAAUAAAUAUAUGUAAAUAUAUAAAAGAAAAUUACUAAAAACUAAAAAUAGUAAAUAUUAAUGCUAAAAUGAGUAUUUUAAUAUUAUACAACUUAAUUAUAUAAAAAUUAAGAUUGGAAAUUUAAAUUUAAUAAAUUAAUUUUUAUAAAGGAACUCGGCAAAUUAAUUACUCUGCCUGUUUAUCAAAAACAUGGCUCCUUGAAAAACUAAAAUAAGGAGUCGGACCUGCCCAGUGAUAUAUAAUUUAACGGCCGCGGUACCCUGACCGUGCAAAGGUAGCAUAAUCAUUUGCCCUAUAAUUGAGGGCUAGUAUGAAUGGUUUGACAAGAGUAAUACUGUCUCUAUAAAAAUUUCUAGAAUUUAUUUUUUAGGUGAAGAAUCCUAAAUAAAAUUAAAAGACAAGAAGACCCUAUCGAGCUUUAAAUCUAUUUAUAAAAUAAAAGAAAUUUAUUAAUAUUCUUAAUUAUAAAAAAUUUUGGUUGGGGCGACUAAGGAACAAAAAAAACUUCUUUUAAAGAUUAAGAUUUAUAAAUAAUGAUCCACUAUCCUAGUGAUUAAAAGAAUUAGUUACCGUAGGGAUAACAGCAUAAUCCAUUUUGAGAGUUCUUAUCGAAAAAAGGGUUUGUGACCUCGAUGUUGGACUAGAAUAUCCUGUAAGAUGCAGAAGUCUUCAAGGGUUGGUCUGUUCGACCAUUAAAAUUCUACAUGAUCUGAGUUCAGACCGGCGUGAGCCAGGUCAGUUUCUAUCUUUAAUUAUUAAACUAAGCUUAGUACGAAAGGACCAGUUUAGAAUAACAUUUAUAUACUAUAGAUAACUUAUAAUAAAAAAAUAAAUAUAUAA